rnacentral:rRNA from 1 species
AUGAGAGGAAUUCAGCACAGAAUUGACUUAAUUCCAGGAGCAAGUCUUCCUAAUCUUCCACACUAUCGAAUGAUCCCAAAGGAGCAUGAUAUAUUGAAGGAGAAAGUGGAGGAAUUGUUGCAAAAGGGGCACAUUCAAGAAAGUAUUAGCCCAUGUGUUGUACCAGCCCUACUCGCGUCAAAGAAAGAUGGAUCUUGGCGCAUGUGUACGGACAGUAGAGCUGUUAACAAGAUCACCGUAAGGUAUAGAUUCCCUAUUCCCCGUCUGGAUGAUAUGUUGGAUCAGCUUAGUGGAGCAAGAGUGUUCACAAAGCUAGAUUUAAGAAGUGGGUAUCAUCAAAUCUGUAUAAGACCCGGGGGUGAAUGA